rnacentral:rRNA from 1 species
UGGGGAAUUUUGGACAAUGGGGGAAACCCUGAUCCAGCCAUCCCGCGUGUGCGAUGAAGGCCUUCGGGUUGUAAAGCACUUUUGGCAGGAAAGAAACGUCGCGGGUUAAUACCCCGCGAAACUGACGGUACCUGCAGAAUAAGCACCGGCUAACUACGUGCCAGCAGCCGCGGUAAUACGUAGGGUGCAAGCGUUAAUCGGAAUUACUGGGCGUAAAGCGUGCGCAGGCGGUUCGGAAAGAAAGAUGUGAAAUCCCAGAGCUUAACUUUGGAACUGCAUUUUUAACUACCGGGCUAGAGUGUGUCAGAGGGAGGUGGAAUUCCGCGUGUAGCAGUUGAAAUGCGUAGAUAUGCGGAGGAACACCGAUGGCGAAGGCAGCCUCCUGGGAUAACACUGACGCUCAUGCACGAAAGCGUGGGGAGCAAACAGGAUUAGAUACCCUGGUAGUCCACGCCCUAAACGAUGUCAACUAGCUGUUGGGGCCUUCGGGCCUUGGUAGCGCAGCUAACGCGUGAAGUUGACCGCCUGGGGAGUACGGUCGCAAGAUUAAAACUCAAAUGAAUUGAC